rnacentral:rRNA from 1 species
GUGGGGAAUAUUGCACAAUGGGCGAAAGCCUGAUCCAGCCAUGCCGCGUGUGUGAAGAAGGUCUUCGGAUUGUAAAGCACUUUAAGUUGGGAGGAAGGGCAUUAACCUAAUACGUUAGUGUUUUGACGUUACCGACAGAAUAAGCACCGGCUAACUUCGUGCCAGCAGCCGCGGUAAUACGAAGGGUGCAAGCGUUAAUCGGAAUUACUGGGCGUAAAGCGCGCGUAGGUGGUUUUGUAAGUUGGAGGUGAAAUCCCCGGGCUCAACCUGGGAACUGCCUCCAAAACUGCAUGACUAGAGUACGGUAGAGGGUAGUGGAAUUUCCUGUGUAGCGGUGAAAUGCGUAGAUAUAGGAAGGAACACCAGUGGCGAAGGCGACUACCUGGACUGAUACUGACACUGAGGUGCGAAAGCGUGGGGAGCAAACAGGAUUAGAUACCCGGGUAGUCC